rnacentral:rRNA from 1 species
CCUACGGUGUGCUGCAGUGGGGGAUAUUGCACAAUGGGGGAAACCCUGAUGCAGCGACGCCGCGUGUAGGAAGACGGUCCUCUGGAUUGUAAACUACUGUCCCCAGGGACGAAGAUGACGGUACCUGGGGAGGAAGCUCCGGCAAACUACGUGCCAGCAGCCGCGGUAAUACGUAGGGAGCGAGCGUUAUCCGGAUUUAUUGGGUUUAACGGGUGCGUAGGCGGAAGGUGAAGUCAGCGGUCAAAUGUCGGUGCUCAACACCGGCCUGCCGUUGAAACUGGUAGUCUUGAGUGAGCGAGAAGUAUGCGGAAUGCGUGGUGUAGCGGUGAAAUGCAUAGAUAUCACGCAGAACUCCGAUUGCGAAGGCAGCAUGCCGGCGCUCAACUGACGCUGAGGCACGAAAGCGUGGGGAUCGAACAGGAUUAGAUACCCUAGUAGUC